AAAGUUGGCCCGGACACUAUGGUUAUCCAUAAAAGGAAAGAAGAGCUAGCUGGUCUGACAUGAUUUUUUGGGUUAGUAUAUGAAAUGGUGGUUGGAUUGUUAGUUCCCAUGUUUUGUUCUGUGGCUUUUUGGGUAGGGCUGGAAGCUUUGUAUGCCAUUAAAGCUUUGAUUAAUGCAUGAAGGAGGACUGAAAUGGGAUGAGACUUUUAAGUGAGGAGGAAUUGUCCUGUGAUGGGGCUAAAGAUUGGUCUUUCUGCACUUGAAGAAAACCGUUCUGUUUUUGUGGAAAAACCGCUCCUUUUGGAUCAUUAGCUUGGCUAUGGUUAUGGACCUCUCUGAAAUGGCUCUCAUUUUCAGCUGCAUGAUGACGAGAGGAAUUAUGUUUGCGGGAAGGUGAGUGUUAGUGAUGUAGUCUGAGUAUGGGUGGUUACUGGUGCAGCAGUGAGGGAGGAGUUAGUAGCCGUUGUAAAUAGUAGGUUAUCAGUCGGUUUCUCAUUGGUUAAUUGCGGUGGUGGAUCUGGUGGGUCCGUAGGUGGGGUUGUGGGACUGCUGGUGUUUCAAAUAAAUCAAUGGAGAGCAUGUAGUGAGAACUUACAUAUUUCCUUUAAUAUUUUUUUAUAGCUCGAGCACAUUAUUUAAUAAUAUCUUUUAAUUUUUCAUAAUUAUAUACUCAUUGAUAUUGGUACUCGCGCGAAGUGCCUAUCGUAAAACUAGUACUCUAUAUUAUAAUUUCAUGCACACUGGCAUAUUCAAUGUAUGUUUCUAUCUAGCAUUAUUCCAUGCUUGG
rnacentral:lncRNA from 1 species